GCCAAAAACCUAGCUCAAUCAACAUGAAUUUUAUUAAGUCAAUUUACACCUCUUAAUAAACCAUUCUAACAUUCUAGUAAAGGAGAUUAAAAAAAUUCUUUAGAGCUAUAACAUCAGUACCGCAAGGGAAAGGUGAAAUAUAUAAUGAAAAAAUUUUAAGCAAAAAAAAGUAAAGAUUUCCCCUUGUACCUUUUGCAUCAUGGUUUAACUAGUCCAACCAAGCAAGACGUAUUUAAGUUUGGUCCCCCGAAACUAAGUGAGCUACUUCAGGGCAGCUAUAUGAGCAAACCCGUCUCUGUAGCAAAAGAGUGGGAUGACCCUUAAGUAGCGGUGACAGACCUAACGAACUUAGUGAUAGCUGGUUACUCAAGAAACGGAUCUAAGUCCAACCUGAAACUUAAUCUAGUCCAUUAAAACAACUACUAAUUUCAGAGUAAUUCAAAUAAGGUACAGCCUAUUUGAAACAGGGUACAACCUAGACCUAUGGAUAAAACAAGCUAAACACACAACCAAGUGGGCCUAAAAGCAGCCAUCUUUAAAAUUGCGUCAAAGCUUAAUUGUUCACGCGCCUAAUUAGCACAUUAUUAUUUUAAUCCUCCACCUAUACUGAGUAAUUCUAUAUUACUAUAGAAAAUUUUAUGUUAAAACUAGUAACAAGAAGAAGACCCUUCUCUUAAAUGUAAGUGUAAAUCAGAAAGGACUAACCACUGAUAUUUAACAUCUCUGAACCUAAAACAGCAACUAACCAAGAAAACCCUGUUUUAACUUAUGUUAAUCUAACACAAGAACAUUUUAAGAAAGAUUAAAAGAAAAAGAAGGAAUUCGGCAAAUAUUAACCUCGCCUGUUUACCAAAAACAUCGCCUCUUGUAUUAUUAUAAGAGGUCCAGCCUGCCCAGUGACCCUGUUCAACGGCCGCGGUAUCCUAACCGUGCGAAGGUAGCGUAAUCACUUGUUCUCUAAAUAAGGACUAGUAUGAACGGCACCACGAAGGUUAUACUGUCUCCCUUUUCUAAUCAGUGAAACUAAUCUCCCUGUGAAGAAGCAGGGAUAAAAAUAUAAGACGAGAAGACCCUAUGGAGCUUUAAACAACAUAGCAUUUAUCAUAACCUUCUUUAACUCCUGAGUUAUACUCUAAAUAGAUAAUAUGACUAUAAGUUUUUGGUUGGGGUGACCACGGAGCAUAAUAUAACCUCCAUGUUGAAAAAAUCCACCUAUAAAUUAAGAACCACGCUUCUAAAAAUCAACACCUUGACAUUAAUUGACCCAAUAUAUUUGAUCAACGAACCAAGUUACCCUAGGGAUAACAGCGCAAUCCACUUCAAGAGCUCCUAUCGACAAGUGGGUUUACGACCUCGAUGUUGGAUCAGGGUCUCCCAGUGGUGCA
rnacentral:rRNA from 1 species